ACGGAAGGCAGCAGUGGGGGAUAUUGGACAAUGGGGGAAACCCUGAUCCAGCGACGCCGCGUGAGUGAAGAAGUAUUUCGGUAUGUAAAGCUCUAUCAGCAGGGAAGAAAAAAUCAAAAUUGACUGUACCUGACUAAGAAGCCCCGGCUAACUACGUGCCAGCAGCCGCGGUAAUACGUAGGGGGCGAGCGUUGUCCGGAAUGACUGGGCGUAAAGGGCGCGUAGGCGGCUCUUUAAGUUAGGAGUGAAAGUCCUGCUUUCAAGGUGGGAAUUGCUUUUAAUACUGAAGGGCUUGAGUGCAGAAGAGGUAAGUGGAAUUCCAAGUGUAGCGGUGAAAUGCGUAGAGAUUUGGAAGAACACCAGUGGCGAAGGCGACUUACUGGGCUGUAACUGACGCUGAGGCGCGAAAGCGUGGGGAGCGAACAGGAUUAGAUACCCUGGUA
rnacentral:rRNA from 1 species